CGGCGGGUAGAAUCCUUUGCAGACG
rnacentral:snRNA from 1 species